GGCGCCGUAGUUCAACUGGAUAGAACGGGAGUUUCCUAAACUCCAAAUGCGGGUUCGAGUCCCGCCGGGGCCA
rnacentral:tRNA from 1 species